rnacentral:tRNA from 1 species
GGUCGGGAAUGGUCGGGAUAGCUCAGC